rnacentral:rRNA from 1 species
GGGGAAUAUUGGACAAUGGGCGAAAGCCUGAUCCAGCCAUGCCGCGUGUGUGAAGAAGGUCUUCGGAUUGUAAAGCACUGUAAGUUGGGAGGAAGGGCAGUAAGUUAAUACCUUGCUGUUUUGACGUUACCAACAGAAUAAGCACCGGCUAACUUCGUGCCAGCAGCCGCGGUAAUACGAAGGGUGCAAGCGUUAAUCGGAAUUACUGGGCGUAAAGCGCGCGUAGGUGGUUCGUUAAGUUGGAUGUGAAAGCCCCGGGCUCAACCUGGGAACUGCAUCCAAAACUAGCGAGCUAGGGGAUGGCAGGGGGUGGGGGAAUUUCCUGUGUAGCGGUGGAAUGCGUAGGUAUUAGUAGGAACACCAGUGGGGAAGGCGACCAACUUGGCUAAUUCUGACACUGGGGUGCCAAAGCGGGGGGAGCAAACA